rnacentral:rRNA from 1 species
AUUGAACGCUGGCGGCAGGCCUAACACAUGCAAGUCGAGCGGAUGAAGGGAGCUUGCUCCUGGAUUCAGCGGCGGACGGGUGAGUAAUGCCUAGGAAUCUGCCUGGUAGUGGGGGAUAACGUCCGGAAACGGGCGCUAAUACCGCAUACGUCCUGAGGGAGAAAGUGGGGGAUCUUCGGACCUCACGCUAUCAGAUGAGCCUAGGUCGGAUUAGCUAGCUGGUGGGGUAAAGGCCUACCAAGGCGACGAUCCGUAACUGGUCUGAGAGGAUGAUCAGUCACACUGGAACUGAGACACGGUCCAGACUCCUACGGGAGGCAGCAGUGGGGAAUAUUGGGCAAUGGGCGAAAGCCUGAUCCAGCCAUGCCGCGUGUGUGAAGAAGGUCUUCGGAUUGUAAAGCACUUUAAGUUGGGAGGAAGGGCAGUAAGUUAAUACCUUGCUGUUUUGACGUUACCAACAGAAUAAGCACCGGCUAACUUCGUG